GUGGCCGUAGAAUUCUAUCUGGUGGAGUGGCAAUGCCUGGACACUGCACAGCAGAAUUUAUAUAGAAAUGUGAUGUUAGAGAACUACAGAAACCUGGUCUUCCUGGGUAUUGCUGCCUCUAAGCCAGACCUGAUCACCUGUCUGGAGCAAGGAAAAGAACCUUGGAAUGUGAAGAGACAUGAGAUGGUAGCCAAAGCCCCAGGUUGGAGCCAUGAUUCCUGUUUUUCUCAUAAAGGCAUUUUUGUUAGGGAUGGAUGACAAAUUUUCUUGCUGUCAGAAAAUAGGCAAAUAGGACACCUUUUAUUUUUCCACCUUAGUGAUGUCACUCUCCCUGUACAUUUUUACUUUCUAUUUUGAUUUAGUCUGUAAUUUCAGAUGUAGACAUUUAGGACAAUAUACUAGAAUUUACAUUUUAUGCCUGAAGUGAAUUGAAUAAUUAGUAGGCAGGCAAAAAGGAAAUAUAGGCAGAUAAAAAAGGUUAUAGGAUUUUCACUCACUUUUGUCUGCCUAUAUCUAAAAUGUAACAAAUUAUUUCCAAAUUGUUU